rnacentral:rRNA from 1 species
AUGCAGUUGAUCACCGCAGACGGUGAGAGGGAAAACAUGGACUUUGUCUUCGGGUGUGCACAUGAUCAACAAGGAAAGCUUCUGGACUCACCAGCAAGUAUUGAUGGGAUCCUUGGCCUUAGCAAUUGGGCAAUGUGCCUCCCUACCCAGCUAGCCAAGCAAGGGAUCAUUUCCAACGUUUUCGGCCAUUGCAUCGCCACAGAUCCCAGCAGUAGUGGCUACAUGUUUCUUGGUGAUGAUUACGUUCCCAGAUGGGGAAUGACAUGGGUUCCCGUCCGCAACGGUCUAGAGAACUUGUACAGCACGGUACUACAGAAAGUAAACUAUGGAGGUCAGGAGCUUAAUGUGCGAGAGCAGGCUGAGAAACUGACUCGAGUGAUCUUUGACAGCGGGAGCUCAUACACUUGCUUUCCACAUGAAAUAUACACAAGCCUGAUUGCUUUACUCGAAGCGGUCUCUCCAGGCUUUGUACACGAUGAAUCAGAUCAGACACUGCCUCGCCGCCUCCUCUCCACGGUGAUGAGCGGCAGGGCCACGUCCACGAGAGCCUAUGGUCUGUUGCAGCCGCCGUGCGUCAUGGUUCCGAAUCGGCGCAGGUCACCGCCAUGGGAGAUGCACGUUGUGGUUCCGGAUCGGCGCAGGUUGCCGCCGUGGGAGAGCAAGGGUGGCCUGGUCUUCUGGUGCUUGUGGAGGAGCAGGGGACGGCUGAUGAGGUGGCGGAGGAGGCCCUUGUCCUUGGUCACCACAUUGAGUAGGAGGAGGAGGUCCUCGUCAUCCACCACAACCGUCAGGUUCGUAGUCAUCGCCUAG